CGGAGGGUGCAAGCGUUAUCCGGAUUCACUGGGUUUAAAGGGUGCGUAGGCGGGCAGGUAAGUCAGUGGUGAAAUCCUUGAGCUUAACUCGAGAACUGCCAUUGAUACUAUCUGUCUUGAAUAUUGUGGAGGUAAGCGGAAUAUGUCAUGUAGCGGUGAAAUGCUUAGAUAUGACAUAGAACACCUAUUGCGAAGGCAGCUUACUACGCAUAUAUUGACGCUGAGGCACGAAAGCGUGGGGAUCAAACAGGAUUAGAUACCCUGGUAGUCCACGCCCUAAACGAUGAUUACUCGACAUUUGUGAUACACUAUAAGUGUCUGAGCGAAAGCAUUAAGUAAUCCACCUGGGAAGUACGACCGCAAGGUUG
rnacentral:rRNA from 1 species